rnacentral:rRNA from 1 species
GACGAACGCUGGCGGCGUGCUUAACACAUGCAAGUCGAACGGAAAGGCCCUGCUUUUGUGGGGUGCUCGAGUGGCGAACGGGUGAGUAACACGUGAGUAACCUGCCCUUGACUUUGGGAUAACUUCAGGAAACUGGGGCUAAUACCGGAUAGGAGCUCCUGCUGCACGGUGGGGGUUGGAAAGUUUCGGCGGUUGGGGAUGGACUCGCGGCUUAUCAGCUUGUUGGUGGGGUAGUUGCUUACCAAGGCUUUGACGGGUAGCCGGCCUGAGAGGGUGACCGGCCACAUUGGGACUGAGAUACGGCCCAGACUCCUACGGGAGGCAGCAGUGGGGAAUAUUGCACAAUGGGCGGAAGCCUGAUGCAGCAACGCCGCGUGCGGGAUGACGGCCUUCGGGUUGUAAACCGCUUUCGCCUGUGACGAAGCGUGAGUGACGGUAAUGGGUAAAGAAGCACCGGCUAACUACGUG